rnacentral:rRNA from 1 species
UCCUACGGGAGGCAGCAGUGGGGAAUAUUGCACAAUGGGCGCAAGCCUGAUGCAGCAACGCCGCGUGAGGGACGAAGGCCUUCGGGUUGUAAACCUCUUUUAGUAGGGAAGAAGCGACUGGGUUUUCCUGGGAGUGACGGUACCUGCAGAAAAAGCACCGGCUAACUACGUGCCAGCAGCCGCGGUAAUACGUAGGGUGCAAGCGUUGUCCGGAAUUAUUGGGCGUAAAGAGCUCGUAGGCGGUUUGUCGCGUCUGCUGUGAAAGCCCGAGGCUCAACCUCGGGCCUGCAGUGGGUACGGGCAGACUAGAGUGCGGUAGGGGAGAUUGGAAUUCCUGGUGUAGCGGUGGAAUGCGCAGAUAUCAGGAGGAACACCAAUGGCGAAGGCAGAUCUCUGGGCCGUAACUGACGCUGAGGAGCGAAAGCAUGGGGAGCGAACAGGAUUAGAUACCCUGGUAGUCCAUGCCGUAAACGUUGGGAACUAGAUGUGGGGACCAUUCCACGGUCUCCGUGUCGCAGCUAACGCAUUAAGUUCCCCGCCUGGGGAGUACGGCCGCAAGGCUAAAACUCAAAGGAAUUGACGGGGGCCCGCACAAGCGGCGGAGCAUGCGGAUUAAUUCGAUGCAACGCGAAGAACCUUACCAAGGCUUGACAUAUACCGGAAACGGCUGGAAACAGUCGCCCCGCAAGGUCGGUAUACAGGUGGUGCAUGGUUGUCGUCAGCUCGUGUCGUGAGAUGUUGGGUUAAGUCCCGCAACGAGCGCAACCCUCGUCCUAUGUUGCCAGCACGUAAUGGUGGGAACUCAUGGGAUACUGCCGGGGUCAACUCGGAGGAAGGUGGGGAUGACGUCAAAUCAUCUUGCCCCUUAUGUCUUGGGCUUCACGCAUGCUACAAUGGCCGGUACAAAGGGCUGCGAUACCGCAAGGUGGAGCGAAUCCCAAAAAGCCGGUCUCAGUUCGGAUUGAGGUCUGCAACUCGACCUCAUGAAGUCGGAGUCGCUAGUAAUCGCAGAUCAGCAACGCUGCGGUGAAUACGUUCCCGGGCCUUGUACACACCGCC